GAAGGCAUAGCUCAGUGGUAGAGUGCAUGCCUAGCAUGCACAAGGUCCUGGGUUCAAUCCCCAGUACCUCCA
rnacentral:tRNA from 1 species